rnacentral:lncRNA from 1 species
GAGAGGCUUCAGAGUGACUCCUCAUGGCAAAAGUGGGUCACAUAAGGAAGACAGGACAGGUGUUUGUUCCUUUAGUAAUCCCUCCAGUGUCUGACAACCAAAUCGUUUUUCACAUUGCUACCGAAUAUAUCCUAAAAUGUGAGUUUGAUCAUGCCUCUCUCCUUCUCAAAAACCCACAGUAGCUCCCUAUUGCCGACAGAGUACAAACAUGAAUCCAUUUGGCAUGAGAUGUCCUCCAUUCCAGAGCCCCUAACUUCCUUUCCAGCCUCAUCUGCCACCUCCUUCCCCAACACUCUUGCACUCCUGGACAUGCCGCGUGCCGCUGCAACUUAGGUCUUCUCCAUCUAUUCUUUAGCCCCAGCCACGCCCUAAAUGCUUCCUCUUUUGUAACCCUGCCCCCACCCUGAUCCUUUUGGUCAGAAUUAAUCUCUUCUUCCUCAAUGCUGUCACAGCAAAUAGCAGGUAAGCCUUCUCAGGCCUUGUGUUGCCCUGCCUUGGAUUACUGUGAGGUGUUUACGAGUCAUUUCCACCACAGACAACAAAUACCGCAGGGGCAUUGGCCGUGAACUCACUUUUGUGUAGGGCAGAAAUCCAGACUUCUGUUUACAGGAAAUAUACCCUGUCUGUGUGCUGUAUCCUUCCUGGGCCUCUGCUUCUCUAUCCUUUUUAUAACAGUGUUUCCUAAAACAGGAUUGGAGGAACUGUUAAAGUCACUCCUGUUUCUGAUGGCAGUGUGAGUUCUCAAUCUACACAGGAUGACGUGAAAGAAAAGAUCAAGAACUACUGCUUGGCAGCCACACUUCUUGAACAAGGAGCUCCAUUUCACCUGCCAUUGCCUCAACCCACUGAAAAUGGGAUUUGGUCCCUACUGAGCUGUCCAAAUUCCUUCCUCCAAGGCGAUCCCUCAAGAGCAAAGGCCUAGCACAUGGCUGAGCACUUGACACCACCAGCAGUGUUUGCUUUGUCAGUUUUCAAACUUUGUCCUUCUCUAGCACUCUCCUCUUGCCCCUCUGGCUGUCCCUGUCUAAAUCUCCUGCACUGGAGCAUCUCCCUGAGCCCAGCUCACAUUGGCAAUAUUCUUUGCUUCAUCCUGGUACACUGUCCCCAGACAACUCAGUCACUUGUGGGGCUUUGGUUGCUGCCUAAAUGCAGAAGAACUUGGUCUACAUGCUAGGUCUUUCUGUGCUCCAGAUCUUUCUGGGCUGCCUGCCUAACUGGAUGCCCAAAACACUUCAAUUUCUCCCCUAACUGAGGCUUUGGUGAGGAGAAAUAUUGACUCCAACUCUAUCCCAGUGCUUUACUGUGGGCAGAGUAUAGACCUAGCCCCUUGAUUUGGGGCUUAGCCGUGUGACUUCCUUUGGCCAGUAAUGAGGGUAGGGGAUGGAAGUAGGAGUGUGCCACAGCUGAACCUCUGGCAUGGCAGUGAGAAGAGCUUCCCCUGGCAAGCUGCUGCCUCCCGUAUCUGGGCCCAGAAUGAGCACACAUGGAGCCAAGCCAAGCUGCCCUCACCAACCCACAGACAUAAAGCAAGAGGCAGGGCAAGCCCAGUGUGGUGGCUCACGCCUGUAAUCCCAGUGCUUUGGAGGACUAAGGUGGAUGGAUUCCUUGACCCCAGGAGUUCAAGAUCAGCGUGGGCAACAUAGUGAGACUUCAUUGCUACAAAAAAUAAAAUAUAUUUGCCAAGCAUGAUGGUGCACACCUGUAGCCCCAGCUCCCUGGGAGACUGG